rnacentral:rRNA from 1 species
UAGGGAAUCUUCCGCAAUGGGCGAAAGCCUGACGGAGCAACGCCGCGUGAGUGAUGAAGGUCUUCGGAUCGUAAAACUCUGUUAUUAGGGAAGAACAAAUGUGUAAGUAACUAUGCACGUCUUGACGGUACCUAAUCAGAAAGCCACGGCUAACUACGUGCCAGCAGCCGCGGUAAUACGUAGGUGGCAAGCGUUAUCCGGAAUUAUUGGGCGUAAAGCGCGCGUAGGCGGUUUUUUAAGUCUGAUGUGAAAGCCCACGGCUCAACCGUGGAGGGUCAUUGGAACCUGGAAAACUUGAGUGCAGAAGAGGAAAGUGGAAUUCCAUGAGUAGCGGUGAAAUGCGCAGAGAUAUGGAGGAACACCAGUGGCGAAGGCGACUUUCUGGUCUGUAACUGACGCUGAUGUGCGAAAGCGUGGGGAUCAAACAGG